rnacentral:rRNA from 1 species
GAUGAACGCUGGCGGCGUGCCUAAUACAUGCAAGUCGAGCGAAUGGAUUAAGAGCUUGCUCUUAUGAAGUUAGCGGCGGACGGGUGAGUAACACGUGGGUAACCUGCCCAUAAGACUGGGAUAACUCCGGGAAACCGGGGCUAAUACCGGAUAACAUUUUGAACCGCAUGGUUCGAAAUUGAAAGGCGGCUUCGGCUGUCACUUAUGGAUGGACCCGCGUCGCAUUAGCUAGUUGGUGAGGUAACGGCUCACCAAGGCAACGAUGCGUAGCCGACCUGAGAGGGUGAUGGGCCACACUGGGACUGGGACACGGCCCAGACUCCUACGGGAGGCAGCAGUAGGGAAUCUUCCGCAAUGGACGAAAGUCUGACGGAGCAACGCCGCGUGAGUGAUGAAGGCUUUCGGGUCGUAAAACUCUGUUGUUAGGGAAGAACAAGUGCUAGUUGAAUAAGCUGGCACCUUGACGGUACCUUACCAGAAAGCCACGGCUAACUACGUGCCAGCAGCCGCAGUAA